rnacentral:rRNA from 1 species
GUCUUUUUGAUUUUAAUUUAAAGUCUAGCCUGCCCAAUGAGAAUUUUAAUGGCCGCAGUAUUUUGACUGUGCAAAGGUAGCAUAAUCAUUAGUUUCUUAAUUAGAGACUGGAAUGAAGGGUUGGACGAGAAAAUAGCUGUCUCUUUAUUAAUGUUAGAAUUUUAUUUUUAAGUUAAAAAGCUUAAAUAAAUUUAAAAGACGAGAAGACCCUAUAGAGUUUUAUAAAAUUUUUAGUAAUAAUUUAGGUGGUGAGUAUUUCAUUGUAUUAGAAAUUUUAUUAAAUUGGGGUGAUUGAAAAAUUUAGUAAACUUUUUUUUAAAAAAAACAUUAAUUUAUGAUUUAUUGAUCCAUAAAAAUGAUUAUAAGAUUAAAUUACCUUAGGGAUAACAGCGUAAUUUCUUUUUAGAGUUCUAAUCGAUAAAGAAGUUUGCGACCUCGAUGUUGGAUUAAAAUUAAUAUUUGGUGUAGAAGCUAAAAUAUUAAGUCUGUUCGACUUUUAAAAUUUUACAUGAUCUGAGUUUAAACCGGUGUGAGCCAGGUUGGUUUCUAUCUUUAAAAAGUUUUUAUAUUUUAGUACGAAAGGACCAAAUAUAAAUAAUAUUUAUUAAUAAUUUGGAUUUUACUAAUUAUCAU